UACACAAGUACCAGUUUUUUC
rnacentral:piRNA from 1 species